AGAAGCCCCACAUCGGCUCCCAAAAUUAGGGAACAAUAAAGUAAAUGAUGUGUGUGCAAGAAUGUGUAAAUGUGUGUGUGUGUCUGUCAGUGUGUAUGUGUCUGUCAGUGAGUGUCUGUGUGUCUGUCAGUGAGUGUGUCUGUCAGUGAGUGUGUGUGUGUGUCUGUCUGUCAGUGAGUGUGUCUGUCAGUGAGUGUGUGUGUGUUGGUCAGUGUUGCACUGGAGAGUGGAGUACCUGGAGGUGCAUGGAGGCACGCAACGCCACGUCACAUUCCGACGUUACAUCGACGUGCUCCACCUUCACAGGGUUUCAAGAAGUAGCGGGAGGAUCAGAUUUGGCACAGGGUGCAGACGGCGCUAUUUGGGGUAUACCAGAGGCCGGACUCGCAUACUGGCAGUGGCAAUGUGAGUGGAGUCUGCUUGUUGGCUAGAGG